GGAAGAGGAGACUCUAUGCUUCAAGGAAAGAAACUGGCAUCGAAACAAAGAAAUGGCAAUUCUUAAAAUUUAGCUGAUUUUUGUGAUGAAUAUAUGGCUGAGUCACCUGUGAAGCUCUUCCAGUGCCUCUGACAAACUCUUGAAGAAGUGGGAUCAAGUAUUAAAGGAGUAACUGCCAGUAGAAUCUCUGAGAGCUGGAGUGCCUCAGAAAAUACUCCAGAGCCAAAAAGGUGAAAUUGGUGUCCUGUUAUUCAUAACCAAUUCCUUUCCACAUCGACUGGGUUUACGUUCAAGUGACUUUUGGGAUGUGCUAUCAAACUGGCUUCUUGCUACUCAAAAAUCAAUACUUGUGAGGUAAGUGUUGGUAGAAAGGAAAGCCAGCAAACCGGGGAAAAGAUAAACUCAAGUCUCCCAAAACCAACUCCAAAGAUUCUACCUGGCUAUGAAAGUUUUUAAAGGGAAAAGAGGAAGUAAUCUCAGAUAAUCAUUGAGUUGGGGGUUGGGUCAGAGUCAUCACUAUCUCCCACUGUGUGAAGGCUUGUCCACUCCUUGUGAUCUUGUGCUAGAUGCUAUCUUGUUUAUGUUUAUUCACAAGAUUACUAAAGAGGAGGCUAGGAAGAAAUAUGGUUAUCAGCUUAUCACUUAUUCAUUUUUACUUCUUUGCUCAAUGGAAAUGAGCAACAGCUUAGGCAAGGUAUUACAUGAUCAAAAUAUUUGAAAAGUAUGCUUGGGCCAGAGAUGAAUAGCACAUGGGGGUACCUGGUUUAAGAUUAAGAUACAGCUUUACUGUAGUGACAAUGCUAAGGAGCCUCCUUCAGAGAGCUCUUUCCUGCAAAAAGCUGAUUAUAAAAGCAGCAGAAUACA